rnacentral:tRNA from 5 species
GGGGGCGUAGCUCAGCUGGGAGAGCACCUGCCUUGCAAGCAGGGGGUCAGCGGUUCGAUUCCGCUCGUCUCCACCA